UACAGAGGGUGCAAGCGUUAAUCGGAAUUACUGGGCGUAAAGCGUGCGUAGACGGUUAUGUAAGUCAGGUGUGAAAUCCCCGGGCUUAACCUGGGAAUGGCAUUUGGGACUGCAAGGCUAGAGUACGGCAGAGGAGACUAGAAUUCCUGGUGUAGCAGUGAAAUGCGUAGAUAUCAGGAGGAAUACCGAUGGCGAAGGCAGGUCUCUGGGUCGAUACUGACGCUCAUGCACGAAAGCGUGGGGAGCAAACAGG
rnacentral:rRNA from 1 species